rnacentral:rRNA from 1 species
CAGCCGCCGCGGUAAUACGUAGGGUGCAAGCGUUAAUCGGAAUUAUUGGGCGUAAAGCGAGUGCAGACGGUUACUUAAGCCAGAUGUGAAAUCCCCAAGCUUAACUUGGGAACUGCGCUUGUGACUGCACAGCUAGAGUAUGGCAGAGGGGGGUGGAAUUCCACGUAUAGCAGUGAAAUGCGUAGAGAUGUGGAGGAACACUGAUGGCGAAGGCAGCCCCCUGGGCCAAUACUGACGCUCAUGCACGAAAGCGUGGGGAGCAAACAGGAUUAGAUACCCGAGUAGUCCCUGUCUCUUAUAC